ACAAGGUUUUUGAAAUAUUGUGCAUUCUCAGCAUCUUUGAUCAUGUGAUUCAUUCCUUUUGCUUUGUUUUUUGCGAAAAAGCCAUUGAUUGCUGAGAUGGAGUAUGGUGUCAGAGUCAAGGGAUAGGUCAUUAGGUCAGAGAUGCUAAUUUGUGACUUAAGUUCUUGUGAUUUGAUGAAGAUCUGAAAGAUAAACCCACUUGUGGCCUUGUACUGGAUCACUUUC